rnacentral:lncRNA from 1 species
AUUCUUAACAUCAUUGUUAAUUAUAUUUUAUUGUUACUUUUCGUAGCGGUAGUGUAGUUAAAUGAGAUUUUUAUUUUUAUUUACUUGUUCAUUUAUUUAUUUAUUUAUUUAUUUAUUUGUUUAUUUAUUUAUUUAUUUAUUUAUUUGUUUAUUUAUUUAUUUGUUUUUUUGUUUACCUCUUUACUUUUAUGUGCUUACAUGUAUAUACAACAAAAUGAAUACGCCGAACUCUUUUGAUAAUCAAAAAAAAAAAAUGAUUAACAGUAACACCAUUGACCUUACAGAAGGUAGAGGUAGUCGUUUUUUGGAAAAUGCUGAUGGUCAUUUGGUAGAUGGCUAUAGUAAUAAUAAUAAUAAUAAUAAUAACAAUAAUAACAAUAAUAAUAACAAUAAUAAUAAUAAUAAUAAUGAUUGUAUUUUAAAAGACGACUUCAACAAUUCAAAAGACGAAUAUAAUAAUAAUAGUAGUAUUAAUAGUAGUAUUAAUAGUAGUAUUAAUAGUAGUAAUAAUAGUAGUAGUAGUAGUAAUAAUGUAUUUAACGUAAGUGGCAAUAACAGUAAUAAUAGUAAUACCGUAAUUCGAGGGAGAAACAGUUUGAAUAACUAUGAAUAUAAUAAUUUAAAUAUGAAUAGAGUAACGUCAAAUAGAAUGAACAAUGCGCCAAACAAUUAUAUGUUUGGUUUUAAGAAUGAACCUAAGGUUGGUGUGUUUAGUAAUUAUGCACAAAGCGCGCUUGGUUAUCAAUCUAAUGUUUACAAACCGAACUGCAAUAUUAGUGCAACAAGUAGUUCUACUUUUACUAAUAGUAAAACUAAUAGUUAUAUUAAAAAAAGUAAAGACGCUCGUUCAAGCAACACUCAUAAUAAUACAUCCAAUUUGAAACAUGAUGUUAAUAGAAGUAAUAAUAAUAGACACAGCAGAAGCAAUAGUAGUAGUAAUAGAAGUGCUAAUAAAAGUAGAGUGAGUAGUGAUAAUAGCAGUUGUCAAAGUAGUUAUAAUAGUAAUGGAAUUAAUAGUGGUAGUAGUAGUAGUUGCAAUAACAGUUCCAAUACCACUGGAAACACAACUGGUAACACUUUAGGUAACAAUCGGUACGGUAAAUUUAUAAAUACUACUAAUCGAAUGAAUGGUACUCGUAAUAGUAAUAGUAAUAAUAUAAAUAAUAUAAAUAAUAAUGUAAAUAAUAAUGUAAAUAAUAAUGUAAAUAAUAAUNNNNNNNNNNUAAAUAAUAAUGUAAAUAAUAAUGUAAAUAAUAAUGUAAAUAAUAAUAUUAAUAAUAAUAUUAAUAAUAUUAAUAAUAAUAUUAAUAAUAAUAUUAAUAAUAAUAAUAUAUAUGAUAAUAAUAAUAAUAUACGUAGUAACAUAGCUAUGCAAAACGUAGGACAUGCACUUAGAGAAAGAAAUAUGUUCGGGGAAAAUGGGUUGCAGCAACACGAACUAGAACAACAUGAAUUAGAUUUAAAUUUGUUAAGACAACCAUGGUUUGAUAAUCCACACAUAGUAAAUUUGAAU